AUCCUUUUGUAAUUCAUAAGUUGAUGAUUGGAUUUUGACACUCAUGUGUGAAAUGUGCCUCCUUCAAACCUUGUUAAGAUGUCGGCAUAUUACCUACCUAAUA
ensembl:snoRNA